rnacentral:rRNA from 1 species
GUGGGGAAUCUUGCGCAAUGGGCGAAAGCCUGACGCAGCGACGCCGCGUGGAGGAUGACGGUCUUCGGGUUGUAAACUCCUGUCAGGGGUGAAGAAACUUCGCAAGAAGCUGACGGUAACCCCAGAGGAAGCCCCGGCUAACUACGUGCCAGCAGCCGCGGUAAUACGUAGGGGGCAAGCGUUACUCGGAAUCACUGGGCGUAAAGGGUGUGUAGGCGGCUGGACAAGUCGGAGAUGAAAUCCCGAGGCUCAACUUCGGAACUGUCUUCGAUACUGUUCGGCUUGAGGGCAGAGGAAGAGAAUGGAAUUCCCGGUGGAGCGGUGAAAUGCGUAGAUAUCGGGAGGAACACCUGAGGCGAAAGCGAUUCUCUAUACUGUUCCUGACGCUGAGACACGAAAGCUAGGGGAGCAAACGGGAUUAGAAACCCGUGUAGUCC